UACGUAGGGUCCGAGCGUUGUCCGGAGUUACUGGGCGUAAAGCGCGCGCAGGUGGUUCAGUACGUCUGGCGUGAAAGCCCCCGGCUCAACUGGGGAGGGUCGUCGGAGACUGCUGGACUUGAGGGCAGGAGGGGUUGGUGGAAUUCCCGGUGUAGUGGUGAAAUGCGUAGAGAUCGGGAGGAACACCGAUGGCGAAGGCAGCCCCCUGGGCUAACACUGACGCUCAUGCACGAAAGCGUGGGGAGCAAACAGG
rnacentral:rRNA from 1 species